AGUCCAUGGUGAGGACAUUUCUGCAGCAAAUUUAUAAAUCUUUUGCACGCUUCAUAUAAUGAUUCACCAUCUUACUGACUAAAAUUAGUAAUGUCCAUUCUAAAUUU